rnacentral:rRNA from 1 species
AUUGAACGCUGGCGGCAUGGCUAAAACAUGCAAGUCGAAUGAGAACCACUUCGGUGGGGACAAUGGCGAAAGGGCGAGUAACGCGAUCGAACGUACCCCGAGGCGGGGGAUAGCGUCGGGAAACCGGCAGUAAUACCCCAUAAUCUCUACGGAGGAAAGGCUUGCCACCUUGGGAGCGGCGAUCGUCCUAUCAGGUUGUUGGUGAGGUAACGGCUCACCAAGCCGAAGACGGGUAGCGGGUGUGAGAGCAUGACCCGCCGCAUCGGGACUGAGACACUGCCCGGACUCCUACGGGAGGCUGCAGUAACGAAUAUUCCGCAAUGGGCGAAAGCCUGACGGAGCAAUGCCGCGUGUGGGAUCAAGCGUCUUCGACGUGUAAACCACUGUCAGGGUCUAGGAACACUGACCAGACCCAAAGGAAGGGCCGGCUAAUUCCG